AUUGAACGCUGGCGGCAUGCUUUACACAUGCAAGUCGAACGGCAGCGGGGGCUUCGGCCCGCCGGCGAGUGGCGAACGGGUGAGUAAUGCAUCGGAACGUGCCCAGUCGUGGGGGAUAACUACGCGAAAGCGUAGCUAAUACCGCAUACGUCCUGAGGGAGAAAGCGGGGGAGUCUUCGGACCUCGCGCGAUUGGAGCGGCCGAUGUCGGAUUAGCUAGUUGGUGAGGUAAAGGCUCACCAAGGCGACGAUCCGUAGCUGGUCUGAGAGGAUGAUCAGCCACACUGGGACUGAGACACGGCCCAGACUCCUACGGGAGGCAGCAGUGGGGAAUUUUGGACAAUGGGGGAAACCCUGAUCCAGCCAUGCCGCGUGAGUGAAGAAGG
rnacentral:rRNA from 1 species